GGUGGGUUGGCUGAGUGAUUAGAGCUUAGGUCUCGUAAGCGUAAGCGAAAGUUCGCGGGAUCGAAUCCCGCUAGAGGCUG
rnacentral:tRNA from 1 species